UCUGCUGCAAGCAAUUCUCCUCAUAUAAAAUAGAUGCACGGGGUGGCGGGAACCAGAAGCCCUCCAGUCGGUGGAAGGGAUAGUGGUGUGAUAGUGGUGGUGCUGGAGAGUGUGUCGUAGGAAAAUCCCAGACCUAGGCGUGAAUCUCAUUUCGACAACUUACUCACCACCACCAUGCCCGGCCACGUCGUGAAAAGCACGGGUCCCGACCCCGACCCCACCGAGUUCCUGUUCAUCUCGGCUGAACAGCGAAUGCUCGACCAGACCAAGCCUUAUGAUCCCAAGAAGUCUUGCUGGGUCCCUGACGAUAAGGAGGGCUUCGCUGAGGGCUUGAUCCAGGGCGCCAAGGGUGACAAACUAGUCAGCGUCCAGCUGAAGAGCGGUGAGGUCAAGGACUUCAAGAAGGAUCUUGUGGUUCAGGUCAACCCUCCCAAGUACGAAAAGUGCGAAGAUGUGUCCAACUUGACCUUCCUCAAUGAUGCUUCUGUCCUGUACAACUUGAAGAGCCGUUACCAGGCUAAGCUCAUCUACACCUACUCUGGCCUCUUCUGUAUUGUCAUCAACCCCUACAAGCGUUACCCCAUCUACACCAACCGCACCGUCAAGAUCUACCAGGGCAAGAGGCGUAAUGAGGUGCCUCCCCAUCUCUUCGCCAUUUCCGACGGCGCCUACAUGGAUAUGUUGCAAUCUCAGCAGAACCAGUCGAUGCUUAUCACCGGCGAAUCUGGUGCCGGCAAGACUGAGAACACGAAGAAGGUGCUGUCCUACUUCGCCAACGUCGGUGCCACCUCCAAGAAGAAGGAAGACGAGAAUAAGCAGAACCUGGAGGACCAGAUCGUGCAGACCAACCCUCCCCUGGAGGCCUACGGUAAUGCCAAGACUACCCGUAAUGACAACUCCUCUCGUUUCGGUAAGUUCAUCCGCAUCCACUUCGCCCCCAACGGCAAGCUCUCCGGUGCUGACAUCGAGGUGUACCUGCUGGAGAAGGCUCGCGUCGUGUCCCAGGCCCCUGCCGAGCGUGGCUACCAUAUCUUCUACCAAAUGAUGUCCGAUCAAGUAGAUUAUCUAAAGAAACUGUGUCAUCUUUCGGACGACAUCUACGACUACCGCUACGAGUGCCAGGGCAAGGUCACUGUGCCUUCCAUCGACGACAAGGAAGACAUGGAAUUCACACAUAAUGCUUUCACCAUCUUGAAUUUCACUAACGAAGAACGUGACAGCUGCUACAAGAUCACCGCCGCUGUCAUGCACCAUGGCAACAUGAAGUUCAAGCAGAGGGGUCGCGAGGAGCAGGCUGAGCCCGACGGCACAGAUGCCGGUGAUGUUAUUGCUGACCUUAUGGGUGUUGAGACUGAGGAACUGUACAAGAAUUUCUGUAAGCCCAAGAUCAAGGUCGGUGCCGAGUUCGUCACCCAGGGUAGGAAUGUCGACCAGGUCUACUAUUCCGUUAGUGCCAUGGCUAAAGGCUUGUUCGACCGUCUCUUUAAGUGGAUUGUGAAGAAGUGUAACCAGACCCUCGAGACCGGCAUGAAGCGUGCCAUGUUCAUUGGUGUGCUCGAUAUUGCCGGCUUCGAGAUCUUCGACUUCAACGGCUUCGAGCAGAUCUGCAUCAACUUCUGUAACGAGAAGUUGCAGCAGUUCUUCAACCACCACAUGUUCGUGCUUGAGCAAGAGGAGUACAAGGCCGAAGGAAUUGACUGGGUCUUUGUCGACUUCGGUAUGGAUCUGCAGGCUUGCAUUGAGCUCUUCGAAAAGAAACUUGGCCUUCUCGCCAUCCUAGAAGAAGAGUCUAUGUUCCCCAAAGCCACCGACAAGUCGUUUGAGGAGAAGCUGAAGGCCAACCAUCUGGGCAAGUCUCCCUGCUUCAUUAAGCCUAAGCCUCCCAAGGCUGGACAGUCUGAGGGUCACUUCGCCAUCGUUCACUACGCCGGCACUGUGACUUACAACCUGUCUGGUUGGCUGGAGAAGAACAAGGACCCCCUCAACGACACCGUCGUCGACCAGCUCAAGAAAUCCAAGUUGCCUCUUGUUGUGGAGCUCUUUGCCGAUCAUCCCGGCCAGUCUGCCCCGGCUGAGGCCAAGGGAGGCAAGAAGAAGAAGACUGGAGGUUUCAAGACUGUAUCUUCUGGCUAUAGGGAGCAGUUGAACAGCCUCAUGACGACCCUGCACUCCACUCACCCUCACUUCGUCCGUUGCAUUGUGCCCAACGAGACCAAGUCCCCAGGUGUCGUGGAGGCUGGUCUCAUCAUGCAUCAGCUGACUUGCAAUGGUGUACUUGAGGGUAUUCGUAUUUGCCAGAAGGGCUUCCCCAACAGGAUGCAAUACCCUGACUUCAAACACCGUUACAAAAUUUUGGCUGCUGACGUCAUGGCCACAGAAAAGGAUGACAAAAAGGCAGCAGAAAUGACAUUCCAGAAAGCUGGGCUUGAUAAGGAGCUGUAUAGGUGCGGUAAGACAAAGGUAUUCUUCCGUGCUGGUGUCCUGGGUACCAUGGAAGAGCUUCGUGAUGACCGUUUGGCCAAGAUCAUCACUUGGAUGCAGUCUUGGAUCCGCGGUCUGAUUGGACGUAAGGAAUAUGGCCGUCUUCAGGAACAACGUGUCUCCCUCGUAGUUCUGCAGAGGAACAUUCGCAAGUUUAUGGAGAUGAGUAACUGGUCUUGGUUCAUCUUCUGGCAGAAGGUCAAGCCCCUCAUCAACCAGCCUAGGAUUGAAGAUGAGAUCAACAAACUCAAGGACAGGGCUGAGAAGGCUGUUGCAGACUUGGAUCGCGAAACAACUCGCCGAAAGGAGCUGGAAGAUUCCAACCUAAGCCUUGCCGAAGAGCUGAAUACCCUGAAAGAAACGCUUGAAUCCACAAAGGGCAAUGUUUCCAAAUUUAUUGAAGAACAGGCCAAGAUUAGCGCAGCCAAAGCUGACUUGGAGGCACAGCUCUCUGAUGCUUCUACAAGACUUCAGAAGGAAGAAGAAGCUCGCACUGAAAUGUUCCAGUUGAAGAGGAAAGCGGAGCAAGAUGUCAAUGCCAUGAGGAAAGACCUGGAAGACUUUGAACUUAAUGUCCAGAAGACUAACCAGGAUAAGGCUACCAAGGAUCAUCAGAUCAGGAAUAUCAAUGAUGAGAUCGCCCACCAGGAUGAAAUCAUCAACAAGGUUAACAAGGAAAAGAAACUGCUACAGGAGAUGAAUCAAAAGACUGCUGAGGACCUUCAAGCCGUCGAGGAGAAGGCCAGCCACCUCAACAAGAUCAAGGCCAAGUUGGAGCAAACCCUUGACGAACUCGAGAGUUCCGUUGGACGCGAGAAGAAGCUUCGUGCCGAAAUUGAGAGGUCCAAGAGGAAGGUAGAGGGAGAUCUUAAAAUGGCCCAAGAAACUGUUGCUGACAUCGAGCGCCAGCACAAGGACCUAGAACAAACCAUCCAGCGCAAGGACAAGGAAAUCGGCAAUCUUGCCAAUAAGCUGGAGGAGGAACAGGGAGUUGUUUCGAAGGUACAGAAAACAAUCAAAGAAAUGCAAUCCCGUAUUGAGGAACUGGAGACUGAAGCUGAGCACGAGCGACAGGCUCGUGCCAAGGCUGAGAAGGGCAAGGGUAAUGAUGAGUCGUGAACUGAAUGACCUCAAUGAACGUCUGGAUGAGGCAGGUGGUGCAACUGGUGCUCAGAUUGAACUCAACAAGAAGAGGGAGGCGGAGCUUGCUAAGCUUCGUCGUGAGCUUGAGGAAGCCAACAUCCAACACGAAUCGGCUCUUGCUAAUCUUCGCAAGAAGCACAAUGAUGCUGUUGCCGAGAUGACUGAACAGAUCGAUCAUCUCAACAAGAUGAAGGCCAAAACUGAGAAGGAAAAGGAGAUGAUGAAAUAUCAGGCCGAUGAAGCUAAAUCAGCCAUGGAUAGUCUCGCUCGUGACAAGGCACUUGCCGAGAAAGCAAACAAGACUAUUCAGCAGCAAAUCAGUGAAGUGAAUGUUAAGCUGGAUGAAGCUAACCGCACACUGAACGACUUUGAUGCCCAGAAGAAGAAGCUCUCCGUUGAGAAUGGAGACCUGCUGCGACAGCUGGAAGAAGCUGAUAAUCAGAUUAAUCAGCUAAACAAUCUGAAGGUGUCUCUUACCACUCAACUGGAAGAUACUAAGAAAAUGGUUGAUGAUGAAUCUAGGGAACGCAGCGUUCUUCUUGGCAAGUUCCGCAACUUGGAGCAUGAUCUGGAUGGCCUUCGUGAGCAGCUUGAUGAAGAGUGUGAAGCCAAGGCUGAUGCCAACCGCCAGCUGUCCAAGGCCCAUGCUGAAGCUCAUAUGUGGCGCUCAAAGUAUGAAUCUGAAGGCGUUGCCCGUGCUGAAGAGAUUGAAGCUGCCCGCCUGAAGCUUGCUGCUCGCCUCGAGGAAGCUGAGCUGCAGAUUGAACAACUCAAUGUCAAGAAUAUGCAGCUGGAGAAGGCCAAGGGACGCAUCAUUUCCGAAAUCGACGAGAUGCAGAUGCAGGUAGAGCGUGCCCAGGGACUGGCUAAUGCUGCUGAGAGAAGGCAGAAAGACUUCGACAGGGUUGUUAAUGAGUGGAAGAUCAAGGUUGACCAACUGGCCACUGACCUUGAUGCUUCUCAAAAGGAAUGUCGUCAGUACUCCACUGAGCACUUCCGUAUCAAGGCCAUGUAUGAGGAAAACCUGGAACACCUGGACUCUGUUCGUCGUGAGAACAAGGGUCUCGCUGAGGAGAUCAAGGACUUGAUGGAGCAGAUCAGCGAGGGUGGCCGCUCUCUUCAUGAGAUUGAAAAGAACGCCAAGCGUUUCGAGAUCGAGAAGGAGGAGCUCCAGGCUGCUCUUGAGGAGGCCGAAGCUGCCCUUGAACAGGAAGAGAACAAGGUUCUUCGUGGUCAGUUGGAGCUGAGCCAAGUCAGGCAGGAGAUUGAUAAGCGCAUUCAGGAGAAGGAAGAAGAGUUUGAUGCCACUCGUAAAUGUCACCAACGUGCAAUCGAAUCCAUGCAAGCUUCACUUGAAGCAGAAGCUAAAAGCAAGGCUGAGGCCCUCCGCAUGAAGAAGAAGCUUGAAUCUGACAUUGGUGAGCUGGAGAUUGCUCUGGAUCACGCUAACAAGGCCAAUGCUGACAUUCAGAAGCAGGUGAAGAAGGCUCAGGCCGAGAUGAAGGACAUGCAGGCUCGUGUGGAGGAGGAGCAGCGUCUUGCUUCUGAGUAUCGCGAGCAGUGCAGCGCCUCUGAGCGUAAGGCCAAUGCUGUCAAUGGUGAACUGGAGGAAUCCCGCACUCUUCUGGAACAGUCUGAUCGCGGACGCCGUCAGGCUGAAUCCGAGCUUGCUGAUGCCAAUGAGUCCCUCAGCCACCUUACGGCUCAGCAUGGAUCCCUUUCCAUGGCGAAGAGGAAGCUUGAGGGCGAGAUUCAGACUCUGCAUGCUGAACUUGAUGACAUGCUGAACGAGGCUAAGAACUCUGAGGACAAGGCCAAGAAGGCUAUGGUUGAUGCUGCUCGUCUGGCUGAUGAGCUCCGUGCUGAACAGGAUCACGCUCAGAACUCAGAAAAGAUGCGCAAGGGUCUGGAAGUGUCUGUGAAGGACCUUCAGGCUCGUCUUGAUGACUUCGAGUCUUCAGCUCACAAGACCGGCAAGAAAGCCCUCGCUAAACUGGAAGCUCGCAUUCGCGACCUAGAAACUCAGCUGGACGACGAAGCUCGCCGUCACGCCGACGCCCAGAAGAGCCUGAGGAAGUGCGAGAGGCGCAUCAAGGAACUCAGCUUCCAGUCCGACGAGGACAAGAAGAACCACGAGAGGAUGCAAGACCUGGUCGACAAGCUCCAGCAGAAGAUCAAGACCUACAAGCGGCAGAUCGAGGAGGCCGAGGAGAUCGCCGCCCUCAACCUGGCCAAGUAUCGUAAAGCUCAGCAGGAGCUUGAGACAGUUCAGAGGAGUUAAAUUAUUGUAAACAAGCCAUAUUUACGUGCAAUAUAGAAGUU